rnacentral:rRNA from 1 species
UAGUGUUAUUCGUGAUGACUGGGCGUAGGGUACGUAGGCGGAUAGUCAAAAAUAUAGUAAAAGACUGAGGAUGACCCUCUUUACGCUAUACUCACUAACUAUCUUGAGUUUUGAAGGCGAUAGUGAAUCCUUUAAGUAAGGGUUAAAUUGUUGAUAUUAGGAGACAUUCGAAGGCGAAAGCAAUGAUCGAUUUAAAUCUGACGCUAGGUACUAAAGCAUGGGUAUGAAAAGGAUUAGAGACCUUGUAGUCCAUGCCGUAAACUAUGAGUGUUCAACGUCCUUUUGUGGUUUGUUUUUGCUGGUUAAAUUCGUUACCUGUUUAGACAAGAUAUGGUUUCAUAUUUUGUAACAAGGGUAAGUUAAGAAGUUAACAAAAGGAACAGUGAAGCAUAUUCAUGAAAGGGGGUUUGAAGCUAACGCGUGAAACACCGCCUGGGGAAUGUGGCCGCAAGGUUAAACUCAAAGGAAUUGACGGAGACUUAUACAAGGGGUGGAGAUGUGGUUUAAUUCGAG